AUUGAACGCUGGCGGCAGGCCUAACACAUGCAAGUCGAGCGGAUGAAGGGAGCUUGCUCCUGGAUUCAGCUGCGGACGGGUGAGUAAUGCCUAGGAAUCUGCCUGGUAUUGGGGGAUAACGUCCGUAAACGGGCGCUAAUACCGCAUACGUCCUGAGGGAGAAAGUGGGGGAUCUUCGGACCUCACGCUAUCAGAUGAGCCUAGGUCGGAUUAGCUAGUUGGUGAGGUAAAGGCCUACCAAGGCGACGAUCCGUAACUGGUCUGAGAGGAUGAUCAGUCACACUGGAACUGAGACACGGUCCAGACUCCUACGGGAGGCAGCAGUAGGGAAUAUUGGACAAUGGGCGAAAGCCUGAUGCAGCAAUGCCGCGUGUGUGAAGAAGGUCUUCGGAUUGUAAAGCACUGUAAGUUGGGAGGAAGGGCAGUAAGUUAAUACAUGGCUGUCUUGACGGUACCAACAGAAUAAGCACCGGCUAACUUCGUG
rnacentral:rRNA from 1 species